CCUACGGGUGGCAGCAGUGGGGGAUAUUGCACAAUGGGGGAAACCCUGAUGCAGCGACGCCGCGUGGGCGAAGAAGUAUCUCGGUAUGUUAAGCCCUAUCAGUAGGGAAGAAGAAAUGACGGUACCUGAGUAAGAAGCACUGGCUAAAUACGUGCCAGCAGCCGCGGUCAUACGUAGGGUGCAAGCGUUAUCCGGAUUUACUGGGUGUAAAGGGAGCGGAGGCGGGACGGCAAGCCUGAUGUGAAAGCCCGCGGCCCAACCGCGGGAUUGCAAUGGGUACUACCGGGCUGGAGUGUCGGAGAGGUAGGCGGAAUUCGUGGUGUAGCGGUGAAAUGCGUAGAUAUUAGGAGGAACUCCGGUGGCGAAGGCAGCCUACUGGACGGUGACUGACGCUGAGGCUCGAAAGCGUGGGGAGCAAACAGGAUUAGAUACCCCAGUAGUC
rnacentral:rRNA from 1 species